AAUGAAUUGCCUGACAAAAGGGCUACCUUGAUAGGGUAAAUUAUGUAAUAUUUAUUACAUUCAUUA
rnacentral:tRNA from 1 species